CUAAUUUCUUCCCCCUUUCUCACUCUCGCACCCGCUCUCGCCACCAUCUCGUUCCCGUAUUCCCUGUCAAUCUCUCUUCCUCAUUCUCUCAAUAUGAAACGCAGACACCAGCCCUCAAUUGUUUGAGAGAGGCUUAAUUUCUGGGAGUCUUCUUCUCCAUUAUUUCAAGGUAGGCUUAAUUGUUUUCUGUUGUUGAUGCAUAAUCGGUUUACAUUAGCUUGCUAGCAUUUAAAUAUGGCUCUUGUAUAAUACUUAUGUGACUUUUAAAUCAAUGUAUGUUUAUGCUUUUGUAACUAUUUUAGUGAAUCCAGUAGAUGUCAAUUUGUGUAAAGCCCGAUUCUGUUGAAGUUAUUAUAUUGAAGAUGUUUAUGCUUUUGUAACUAUUACAUAUGGCUCUUGUAUAAUACUUAUGUGACUUUUUUAUGGGUUCUUAUAUUGAAGUUAUUUGUAGUUCUUUUGCAGUGUUCUAAUUUGAUAUGGAAUUGGAAUUUUGGAUUGAUUGAUUGUGUAGUAGUUUGAACAAUAAGAGGAUUCUUUAUUUUUGAUUUUUAAUCCUUUUCCAAUCGGGUUUAGUUUCUUUACAAAUUCUUGUAUAUUUGUUGAUAUGCAGUGGAGACUAAGAUAACUUCAAAUUUUCAUCUUCUGCAGUAGGCUCUUCUCAAGUCACUUCGAAAUUUAGUAAAUCUGCUAUCAUCAACGACUAAACGGUACCUCUCUAUAAUGGAUCUACAACCUCCUCAUUCUGCAAACUGACUACAUCUCAUGUUCCUAAAAUUAUAUUGUUACUGUGCGUGUACUCCCUCCCUUCACAUUGGUUUCUGCAUCGUUACAUUCUAGAGAGAGAUUGCAAGAAUGUUUUUGUGGAAAAUCACAAAAAUAAAGGCAGCUUAAUCGGCUAUAUUUGUUGCUUAUAUAAUUAAGUUGAUUGUUAUUUCCUUAUUCAGUUCUGAUUGUAAGUUGAAGACCUUCCUUUUGUAUCCCUAACUUUGUUGUAUAUAUUGAGGCAUUGUAUAUCGAAGAUAACAUAAGAAUAGGAAUUAUUUUCUAAAAUAUCCACUGGCGAAGUGUUUUUCCUUUGGUAUCAAAAGAAGCCAAAAUAUCUUGGACUUGGGCUUUAAUAGAUGUUAGUGUCCGGAUUUGUUAUUUACCCAUUUAGGGAGAUUUGGUCGGUGAUGUCUCUCUAAUAAGUAGUGUCAAUAAUAGAAAGUUGUUUUCUAUAUUAUGGUAGUGCCUAUUGAUAUGAUGCGAUUAGAUUGUUUCUAGAUUUUUGUAUUUCCUCAUGUCUUACUUUUGUAUUGUAGCUGGUUCGCAUUCUGCUGUGAUGCUCUCUAUCAAGCAUGCGUAAUCCUUGAUGAAUAUUAUUCUGUAUUGAUAGAGUUUAAACUUUGGGAUUUUUCUUCUUAUUUUUGGCGGCCUUUAAGGGUUUGAAGAGUGAUUAUGUGUGAAUCUAAAAUUAUAGGGUUUAAUUAGGGACUCAAACAGUCAAUUGUCAUUUUGUAAUUGGCUAUUGAAAUUUGAAUUUGAAAAAAUGCUUGUUGGCUUGUAAAUGUCUUGAUCAAGGUAAAAGUUUUUCUAGCUGAUAGUUGUAUUAUUUUAUCCAAGACAUGAUUCUUAUUUUUUGAGGAGUAGAUCAAUCUCAGUGAUCACUACUUAAUGAAAAGUAUUGUAUAUCUCUUUCGUGCCUUGAAUUUAUUAUAGAAUCGACUUUGUAGAUUUCCUUUUCUUUCCUUGAUUUAGGAAGAAUCUAGGCACGAUUUUUGGUAUAGCUUUCUUCACAUGCUUCUAUAUAUUUACCCUUUGAGUUUAGAACUUGGCCUGUAUAUCUCUGGCCUUUAAGCAAUAAUAGAACCACAACUGAAGUUUAUAAUUUGAAUGUUCUAAAGGGAAGAUGAAUGUUUACAAAAUUUCUUAUUUAAUCCAUGCAUGUACUACUACAAUUAUCACUUAAUGAGCGGGGUUUAAGCAAUAAGCCGAAAAUUCCAUUCGAGAUGAUGUUGUUGCUCGAAUUUUAGGUCCCGAGCGUCGUGGACGAGUAAGGGGACUUGGACUUGGGUUACACCAUCAAAAGUAGAUGGAAAUACACAAAGCAGUGAGAAAGUGAGAGAACUUGAAAGCAAAUUACAAACUCAAUCAGUAAGGAUGGAAGCACUCGAAGAAAAGGUUGGAG
rnacentral:lncRNA from 1 species